rnacentral:lncRNA from 10 species
UAAAAAUACAAAAAAAUUAGCCGGGCGUGAUGGCGGGUGCCUGUAGUCCCAGCUACUUGGGAGGCUGAGGCAGGAGAAUAGCGUGAACCCAGGAGGUUGAGCUUGCAGUGAGCUGAGAUUGCGCCACUGCCCUCCAGCCUAGGCGACAGGGCAAGACUCUGUCUUUAAAAAAAACAAACAACAAAAAAAAACAACCAUGGAUUACAGUGAGAUGUGAAGAGGGACAGUCAGGGAAGGGUUAUAUAGAAACUAAUCCCCUAAGCUGAGGCUUGAGAAACUCUAUCAGGUGGUAGAUUUAGGGAACAGGGCAUUCUAGGAAGACAGAGCAUCUUGAAUGAACUGAAGAAACAAAACCAACUGGGUAUGUUUUGGGGAAUUGUGAGAGGCUUGGUUUGGCUGGAGUGUAGUAGCUGAUCAGGGCAGUGGGCAGAGGUAAAGCGAGAGAUAAAACUGGAGUGGUAAAUAGAAGGUCAGAUUAUUGGGACCUCGAAUGCCAUAUUAAGCUCUUUGGACUUUAUCCUGUGCAUUGAAGAAACUUUGCCAGAUUGGUUUUUGGGUGCUCCAUCUAGCAGGAAUGUAGAAGACAGGUGGACUCUGAAGCUGCAAGUGGGGAGACGAUAGAUGAUGACUGCAUGAGUGCAGGAAAGAUGCAGCCUAGAAGUCAGGCAGUACUCGGGGGAAGGGGCGGAUCUGAGAAUGGAGAGCUUAGACUCUAGGACCUGGCUACUAGGUUUGGGUAGUGAGAGGAUGAGGGCUUCAGGAAGACCCUAGCUGGCUGGAUUUCUCUUGCUGGUCCCCAAGUUGGGGAACAUGGGGAAGGGGCAGUUGAAGCAGUGGGAAAAGUUGGG